GGCCCCGUCGUCUAGCGGUCUAGGAUAUUUGGUUCUCAUCCAAAAGAUCAUGGGUUCGAAUCCCAUCGGGGUCA
rnacentral:tRNA from 1 species